CCUACGGGAGGCAGCAGUGGGGAAUAUUGGACAAUGGGCGAAAGCCUGAUCCAGCCAUGCCGCGUGUGUGAAGAAGGCCUUCGGGUUGUAAAGCACUUUCAGUGGGGAAGAAAGCCUUGGGGCUAAUACCCUCGAGGAAGGACAUCACCCACAGAAGAAGCACCGGCUAACUCCGUGCCAGCAGCCGCGGUAAUACGGAGGGGGCGAGCGUUAAUCGGAAUUACUGGGCGUAAAGCGCGCGUAGGCGGUCUGAUAAGCCGGUUGUGAAAGCCCCGGGCUCAACCUGGGAACGGCAUCCGGAACUGUCAGGCUAGAGUGCAGGAGAGGAAGGUAGAAUUCCCGGUGUAGCGGUGAAAUGCGUAGAGAUCGGGAGGAAUACCAGUGGCGAAGGCGGCCUUCUGGACUGACACUGACGCUGAGGUGCGAAAGCGUGGGUAGCAAACAGGAUUAGAUACCCGAGUAGUC
rnacentral:rRNA from 1 species